rnacentral:rRNA from 1 species
AACGAACGCUGGCGGCAGGCUUAACACAUGCAAGUCGAACGCGUGUAGCAAUACACGAGUGGCGCACGGGUGCGUAACGCGUGGGAACCUACCCUUUAGUACGGAAUAACUGGGGAAACCUCAGCUAAUACCGUAUACGUCCUUCGAGAGAAAGAUUUAUCGCUACAGGAUGGGCCCGCGUCAGAUUAGGUAGUUGGUAGGGUAACGGCCUACCAAGCCGACGAUCUGUAGCUGGUCUGAGAGGAUGAUCAGCCACACUGGGACUGAGACACGGCCCAGACUCCUACGGGAGGCAGCAGUGGGGAAUAUUGGACAAUGGGCGAAAGCCUGAUCCAGCCAUGCCGCGUGAGUGAAGAAGGCCUUCGGGUUGUAAAGCUCUUUCGGCGGGGACGAUGAUGACGGUACCCGCAUAAGAAGCCCCGGCUAACUUCGUGCCAGCCGCCGCCGUAACAC